rnacentral:rRNA from 1 species
AUGACGCUGCGCAGCUACACAUGCAGUCGAGCGAUGAGUAGCUGCUACGAUCAGCGCGACGGUGAGUAUGCUAGAAUCUGCUAUUAGUGGGGACACGUUCCGAAAGGAGCGCUAAUACCGCAUACGUCUACGGGAGAAAGCAGGGGACUUUGGGCUUGCGCUAAUAGAUGAGCUAAGUCGGAUUAGCUAGUUGGUAGGGUAAAGGCCUACCAAGGCGACGAUCUGUAGCGGGUCUGAGAGGAUGAUCCGCCACACUGGGACUGAGACACGGCCCAGACUCCUACGGGAGGCAGCAGUGGGGAAUAUUGGACAAUGGGGGGAACCCUGAUCCAGCCAUGCCGCGUGUGUGAAGAAGGCCUUUUGGUUGUAAAGCACUUUAAGCGAGGAGGAGGCUACCUAGAUUAAUACUUUAGGAUAGUGGACGUUACUCGCAGAAUAAGCACCGGCUAACUCUGUGCCAGCAGCCGCGGUAAUACAGAGGGUGCGAGCGUUAAUCGGAUUUACUGGGCGUAAAGCGUGCGUAGGCGGCCAAUUAAGUCAAAUGUGAAAUCCCCGAGCUUAACUUGGGAAUUGCAUUCGAUACUGGUUGGCUAGAGUAUGGGAGAGGAUGGUAGAAUUCCAGGUGUAGCGGUGAAAUGCGUAGAGAUCUGGAGGAAUACCGAUGGCGAAGGCAGCCAUCUGGCCUAAUACUGACGCUGAGGUACGAAAGCAUGGGGAGCAAACAGGAUUAGAUACCCUGGUAGUCCAUGCCGUAAACGAUGUCUACUAGCCGUUGGGGCCCUUGAGGCUUUAGUGGCGCAGCUAACGCGAUAAGUAGACCGCCUGGGGAGUACGGUCGCAAGACUAAAACUCAAAUGAAUUGACGGGGGCCCGCACAAGCGGUGGAGCAUGUGGUUUAAUUCGAUGCAACGCGAAGAACCUUACCUGGCCUUGACAUACAGAGAACUUUCCAGAGAUGGAUUGGUGCCUUCGGGAACUCUGAUACAGGUG